CAGCUCCAAUAGCGUAUAUUAAAGUUGUUGCGGUUAAAAAGCUCGUAGUUGGUUCUGCGUGCCACGCUGUCGGUUCACCGCCUGUCGGUGCAACUGGCAUGCCGUGGCAUGUCCUGUCGGUGGCUGACAGGCUUCGCGGCGCGCCCUAUGCGUUCAUACGUGUAGGCAGUUGCGCCGCGUCGUCCUUGUAGGCCGGCUCAAUCCUACCGCGGUGCUCUUUGCCGAGUGUCGAGGUAGGCCGACACUGUUUACUUUGAACAAAUUAGAGUGCUUCAAGCAGGCUCUGAAAGCAGCCUGAAUAGUGGUGCAUGGAAUAAUGGAACAGGACCUUGGUUCUAUUUUGUUGGUUUUCGGAAUCCAAGGUAAUGAUCAAUAAGGACAGGCGGGGGCAUUCGUAUUGCGACGUUAGAGGUGAAAUUCUUGGAUCGUCGCAAGACGCACUAGAGCGAAAGCAUUUGCCAAGUAUGUCUUAAUUGAUCAAGAACGAAAGUUAGAGGUUCGAAGGCGAUCAGAUACCGCCCUAGUUCUAACCAUAAACGAUGCCAGCCAGCGAUCCGCCGAUGUUCCUCCGAUGACUCGGCGGGGAGCUUCCCCCGGGAAACCAAAGCUUUUGGGUUCCGGGGGAAGUAUGGUUGCAAAGCUGAAACUUAAAGGAAUUGACGGAAGGGCACCACAAGGAGUGGAGCCUGCGGCUUAGUUUGACUCAACACGGGAAACCUCACCAGGCCCGGACAUUGGAAGGAUUGACAGAUCGAUAGCUCUUUCUCGAUUCAGUGGGUAGUGG
rnacentral:rRNA from 1 species